rnacentral:rRNA from 1 species
AACUAUUAAAGAAUUUCGGUCAUCGAUGGGGAUGCGUUCCAUUAGGUUGUUGGCGGGGUAACGGCCCACCAAGCCUUCGAUGGAUAGGGGUUCUGAGAGGAAGGUCCCCCACAUUGGAACUGAGACACGGUCCAAACUCCUACGGGAGGCAGCAGUGAGGAAUAUUGGUCAAUGGACGAGAGUCUGAACCAGCCAAGUAGCGUGAAGGAUGACUGCCCUAUGGGUUGUAAACUUCUUUUAUACGGGAAUAAAGUGAGGCACGCGUGCCUUUUUGUAUGUACCGUAUGAAUAAGGAUCGGCUAACUCCGUGCCAGCAGCCGCGGUAAUACGGAGGAUCCGAGCGUUAUCCGGAUUUAUUGGGUUUAAAGGGAGCGUAGGCGGACGCUUAAGUCAGUUGUGAAAGUUUGCGGCUCAACCGUAAAAUUGCAGUUGAUACUGGGUGUCUUGAGUACAGUA